AUACGGAGGGGGCAAGCGUUAAUCGGAAUUACUGGGCGUAAAGCGUACGUAGGCGGUUCGUUAAGUUAGAUGUGAAAGCCCCGGGCUUAACCUGGGAACUGCAUUUAAAACUGGCGAACUAGAGUUGAGUAGAGGGGAGUGGAAUUUCAGGUGUAGCGGUGAAAUGCGUAGAGAUCUGAAGGAACACCAGUGGCGAAGGCGACUCCCUGGACUCGAACUGACGCUGAGGUACGAAAGCGUGGGUAGCAAACGGGAUUAGAAACCCUAGUAGUCC
rnacentral:rRNA from 1 species